GUAAAAGGGGGUGGGAACGUGGGAGAAUAGGGUGAGAACACGGUCUUGAAACAGAGGAGAAAACCUAGCGCCGCAGAUCUUCCUUACAAAAAAUCACGCGCAAACACUCUGAGAGGAGAUAGCCAAAAUCCCUAAAUCAACAGUCACCUUCAACAGACCACCAAAAAAUCGCUGAUCUCCCUCUCUCUCUCACUCACAACCCUUUAUCACCACAACAACCAGCUUCUUCUUCCAUCUCCGACUCUCAGCCCCGACAAACUCAUACCAAAACCAAAAAAAAAAAGAAAAACGGAAAGAAAUCUAGACAAAAAUUUUGGGAGAAAGAGAUUAGGAUUCGUCUUUAGUUUCAUUUGACUUUUCCUUUUAUUCUCUUCUCAAUUCCAGGGAAAGAUACUAAUAAAAAUUUUAAAUUUUUUUGGUUCUCAAUUUUGCUUCAAAAAUCUGAAAAUUCAAAAAAAAAUGGAAAAGAAUUCCGUUUCUUCCUCUGGAUUUUCGUUUGAAAUGGAAGGAAGCUGAGGUGAGUGUUCAAAGCUUUGGAGUUGUCGUUCGUGGUUUAGGAGCGCAGUUUCGGGAGUGAAUCAGUCUCUGUUCUCGCCGGAUUUCGGACUCCGUGUUUGUAGCUAUUUUCUUCAUUCUGCUCAUAUAUUCAAGGGGUUUUAUUCUAACAGAUGCCAUUUUGGAAGAUCAAGAUGAAGUCCUCGAAGAGAUGGUGCUUGAAGAUACUGUCGCCGAGGAUGCACCCCGAGAUUAGAUUAGACUUUUGGCUUUUAUUAUAUAUGUACUUUUUUGCUUCACUGUUUCUGUUUAAGGACCCCUCAUGGGCUUUUGUAAUCAUAUGUAAGGAUCCCUCGUGGGCUUUUGUAAUUACGAUUUAUUAAUACAAGGAUAUUUCUUCGAUUUGUCUCUGA